rnacentral:lncRNA from 1 species
UGUAACAACUUUUGUAUUCUAAAAUAUAAAUUGAUUGAUAUUGAUUGAUAUAUUGAUUGACUGAUUGUGUUUGAUUAAGACAAUUUGUCCUGAUUAAGACAUUAGACUCAAAAUUCAAAACAAUCAAAAUAUUAAAAUUAUUGAAAUAUGAAACUGUUUAGAUUUUUUUAUAUAUAUUACCAUAUGCUGUGAAACGUGAAUAAUUUUUUUUUCUAAAAAAGUUAAAUUUUUGCGGGGAAAAUGGCCUUAUAAGAUUGGAAAAAGAUGUUAAAGUAUAAAAUAUAAUGUUAAAUUAUUUAAAUAACAAGGACAUUCAUUGGCAUUUUUUUACUAGAAAAUUUCAGACUUUAUUUUUAUGUCUUUAUAAAUCAGUUAAAAUGACUAUAAUUAAAAGUGUAUCUUAAUAAUGAUGUUGUUAUUUCACUUGGCGGUUGAAUUGUAAGUGAUUUCAGACUAUUCAACUUUGUAAGUAUGUUUUUAUGAGUUUAUCUUUUACGAGUUUUAUGAGUUUACUAUGUAAUUAUGUUUUUAUGAGUUUUUCGUGGUUUAAAAACUGUAUACAAAGAGUUCUUGUUUUUAUUUGCAAUCAUAUAAAUGCCAAUUCUAAUAAUUAUAUUAAAUUAACUAUGACUACUUCAAAAAACACAAGACUCCCUAUGAAAACAAAGUUAUCAACAUAUUUAGGCAGAAGUAAGGAUCUUAUUCUGUCAGAAGUGCCAACUUUAAGAGAUAUUUUGAGAAAAGGUCUGCUUAUCCAAGAAGCUCUACUUCGAGAAGAUGUUAACAGAAGGAAUAUUUGAUUGAGAGACUUUUCUCGACUACUAGCUGAUAUCGUUUUUCAGCAGUAGAUAAAAGCAAAUGCUCUUUUUAAACCUCCAGUGGUUAUUGGAAAGAACUUUGAUGGAAAAAAUUGAGUUUUCCUGGAACAAGAUCAAAGAUAUAGCACAUGGGAAAGCUUCUCAGACACACGUGUCUUUUUGGGAAUCAAAACUGGAUGAAUUUCUAGAUAUAACAUGUGCAAGUGUGAAAUUAUGUUAUGUAACGAGUUGUUUUUGAAAACUUAUUCUUGCAUCAAACAAGUACAUAUUAAAUGAACUUGUGUAAAAGAGAAAAAAAUUCCAAAGGUUGAACUUCUAUGGCUUAAUGCCCAAAGGAAAAAAAGAGGAUCUGUUUCAAAAUACCAGAUGGGUUUCAAUGAUAUUAAAGAGACCGCGAAACAGUUUUCGCGAGAGGAGAAAAAAAUGAAGAGAAAGUCUAGAGUAGAGAAAAAAUUAGAAAUGGAAAAAAAAAUUUAAGGUAGAAAAUGACAACGUUGUUGAAUGUUUAAUUGAGGAUUAUUCAGAUUUAAAAAAGAAAAAGAUUUCAGAAGAUCCGCUUCAAAACAAGAUUUGGAAAAAAAAUGUCAAUAAGUCAUAUUGCAGAAGCUUCAAUAAGAUAUGAUAUUUCACCAGUAGCAACAUCAGCUAUUAUUACAUCCUUUCUUCUAGACCUUAUUGAAGCAAAGUAUUUGAUGCCUGAUAUGUCUUAUUUACCUGUUGAUCCUAUGAAAGUAAGAAAUAAUGAAGAGAGUAAUAAUGUAUGAAGAAAAGUUAAUCGACAAAGAACCUAUUAGAGGUUUGUUUAUUGAUGGCAGGAAGGACUCAACUUUUAUUUUGGAACAGAAUCCUCUAACGUGAAAUUUAUCCUCUAAUGUGAAAUUUAUUUAGAAAUCCUCUAAGUAAAUUUCACAUUAGGACUAUAAAAGAAGAACAUAUAACUGUGACGUGUGAGCCUGAUGGAAGAUACCUCACUCAUUACACACCACCUAAAGCUAUACCGCCAAGCAAAACCAGCUCAGAAUCCCUUAUAUUAACUCUUUUGUCAAGUUCAGAUGAAGAAUUGAGGAAGCUUACCAUUAAAACAAUUAAAGAUAUAAGGAAAACCUCGCAGUUCGGAGACACAGCAGUAAGGUCAAGAAAAAAGGUUUUUCUCAAUACAGAAGCUUUGUCUAUCAAAGAGCUAAUAGAUUGGGAGAAGGAAAAAAUAUCAGAACCAGUGUUUAUGUGCCAAAUCUCUACAUACGAUCUUGGCAAAUAGCUGGUCACUUGCUUUGAAGCUCUGUACUUUCCUCUUCACACGCAAUCUUGUGAAAGGGCAGUAAAAGAAGUUACAGAAGCAGCACUUUCGGUUUGUGGUUUUGAAAAAAGAGACGGUUUUGUGAGAGCACGAAUGAAUAACAUAAAAACUUUGCCCAAGCUUUAAUCAAAAAAAAAUUUUAGUAACCUUUUCAAAUCAAAAUCAUAAACCAAAACAUUUUUAUGACAAUAUUAUAACUUAAAUUUGUUUUUUAUUAAAUAUUGUAAAGCUAAACGAUGUUGUUAAGUUGAACUAUAAAAACUUCAUUCCAACAAAUAAAGUCUGAAAAUUUAUUAUGAAAAAAAUUCCAAUUUUUAUAUAUUUUUUCAAUCUUAUAAGGCCUUUUUCCCUGCGAAAAUUUAUUUUUUUUUGGAAAAAAAAAUUAUUUACAUU